rnacentral:rRNA from 1 species
UACAGAGGUCUCAAGCGUUGUUCGGAUUCAUUGGGCGUAAAGGGUGCGUAGGCGGCGCGGUAAGUCGGGUGUGAAAUCUCGGAGCUUAACUCCGAAACUGCAUUCGAUACUGCUUCGCUUGAGUACUGGAGAGGAGGCUGGAAUUUACGGUGUAGCAGUGAAAUGCGUAGAUAUCGUAAGGAAGGCCGGUGGCGAAAGCGAGCCUCUGGACAGUUACUGACGCUGAUGCACGAAGGCCAGGGGAGCAAACGGG